rnacentral:lncRNA from 1 species
GCAAUUGCUGUGAAUGGAGGUUAUCGCUGCUUGGCAGUAUAUGGAAGUGUUGGAAUAAGACUUUAGCUAACAAAAAGGUUUUCUAUCGGUAUCCGGCUAUCAUGGGCAAUUAUUAUGAAUGGAGGUUAUCGUUGCAUGUGUUUGAGUUAUGUGGGAUAUCAUACGAUUGCAAUCGAGGUUACAGGUAUGGAUUAUUACAGUUGGUUCGGGUUUAUUCUGAAUAUAGAUGUGAGGUUUGGAUCUUGUGCAUAACCUCGGAAAGUGCGAUGCGGUCAUAUGGUUUAUGGUUUAGAUGGACUUUGAAAUUAUGGCUAUGUUGUGUUAGCGGACCUAUGUGAGAUAGGGUGACGUGGGAUCACCCCGAGUAUAUGUUUGGUAAGGUCAUUAGCCUAUUGGGUUGCUUCUACUACAACUUUGGGUACGCUCGAG